rnacentral:lncRNA from 1 species
AACUCUUCUAAAGCCAAGUACCAAAGCCUAGAUUUGUUCCUAGUUAAUUUAGAGGUUAGAAAACACCAUAAUCACCCUCCGAAGGGAGUUUACGGCCAGAAACUCCAAGGGAAUAUGGUGUAUGGGCCGUAAACUGCCCAAAGGAGUUCAUAUGGUACCCAAACACUUGUNNNNNNNNNNNNNNNNNNNNNNNNNNNNNNNNNNNNNNNNNNNNNNNNNNNNNNNNNNNNNNNNNNNNNNNNNNNNNNNNNNNNNNNNNNNNNNNNNNNNAUGAAAUUAUCUUGUACUGUAAGUACUUUAGUAGGUCUUUAUGCUUUCAGGAACUAUGUUCUGCGGAUAUGAUGUAAGACCUUUACAAGGUCAUUUUCCAGAAUCUUUACAUCAUGAAUAUCAAAGGUAUUGACAGCCGGCUAACUUCUGUGUCAUUCUUCAUUCAAGUACUCUUAUCAUUCUUUCAUUAGGGUCUAUCUGAAACAUGCUUUAGUCAAGCCAUUGGACUAUAGUGAUUUAUCUCCGGAGACAUUUCCAAGUCUCUUUCAGUGGUUGGACCUUGUUAUUCACCAACCCACGAUACCUCGGCUUGCACAACAAACGUUUUGAGACCAUUCUAUGAACUUACCUCUACUCAUUACUAGGACUGCAUCAUAGGGAUGUAGGUCAAACCUUCACAAACAUACUUCCAUUCCAUACUAGGACUGCAUCAUAGGGAUGUAGGUCAAACCUUCGCGAACAUACUUUCAUUCUGUACUAGGACUGCAUCAUAGGGAUGUAGGUCAAACUUUCGAGAACAUAGUCGUACUCUUUACAUGAAUAACCUAAGUACAUCAGGGUUAACCAGAAUCGCUCACAAAAUCCUUAUCUUUCGUGCUACACAAUCAUGUCGUCAUCCGGAAGCAACCAGUCGAACAGGGAAACCUCCGCUUUUCCUAUGGACGCCGUUACCUUUCAAACAGCAGUUACAGCUGCCGUGGUGGCUGUCUUAACCGCGGUCCUUGCGCACCGUAGCGCUAACAUCACAAUCAAUGCUGCUGAUGGGAAUGAAGUUUCCAAUCGUGGUAUCCAUCCAGGAGGUCAUCAAACAGUAACAGCCACAGGCUCACAAAGCCGAAAAGCAGAGAACAAGAAAGGAAAGCGUCAAGCCUGGAAAGAACGAAAGAGAUCCCAAAGGCUGGCUACACAACAGCAGCAAGUGGAAACCCCUGUCGUUCCCAUACCGAGCAGACCCUACAAAGGAACACUCCCGAGGUGCGACCGGUGCAACUACCACCACAAGGGAAUGUGCCGAUUCUUGCAAUGCGAUAAUUGCAACAAGAUAGGGCACAUUGCUCGUUUCUGUCGAACUACCUCCACUACUGGGGCAAGCCUAGUUUGCUUUAAUUGUGGUCAGUUUGGGAACUAUAAGAGGGAUUGCCCGAAGAAGGAAAUCCAGGAAAGAACCCGCGUCGCCAUAACUCCUACCAAACACUUCACUUCCACCACCAAUGUGGGCGUUGUCCAUGUAUGUCACCAAUGCGGUGAAAUUGGACACCUCAAGAAGGAUUGCCCGAUAACGCAGAACUCUUGCGCAGACGGGAAAAUUCUUAGGAUCACAGCCGCAGGAGAGCCUACUCCAGAACCAUCGUUAAUGUAAUUUAGGCGUUUCGUUGUAACAGACUUAUAAAUUAUCCAGAACUAGUGCAACUAGAGUCUUACCUUUUGCGAGAUCCUAUCGGUAUAAGGAUUCCCGUGCUGCGUAUACUUGCCUUUUGUAGUAUAUUUUAUUCGCAGCAAUAGUCUUGUGGUAAAUCUAAAGUACUGUAACUCUGUUCAUGGUUGCACGGUUGUGUUUUGUCGGUAAACGUCUUAUGUUCAAAUCUAAUGUAUUUAAGUUUCAGUAUGAUUCCGACAUUAUCAUACGACUCGAUUCAAUUUGUUCUUCACAAAAACAGCCUUAUACGUACAUCUCUUUCUUCUAGAUCGUUUUUUCCAGCGAAGCCGUCAUAUCAGAACACCGAAGUAUUCAUGCCAGGAGUACCUCUUAGUUAUUUUCUUUCCGAAGAAAUCCCCGAAGUACUCAUGCCAGGAGUACCUCUUAGUUAUUUUCUUUCCGAAGAAGUCCCCGAAGUACCACUCGUGCAGUACGUCAAGUUCAUUCCAAGGAUUCAUACGAUUGAUCUAUCACUGAGGAAGGUAUACGUAAGAAUUAUAUAUAAUCAAGCUUCUACAGGUUUAGAAUUGAUGAUUCCACUUUAACUUCUUUUUCCCGAUGGGAUGUGAGCUUAAAGAAGAAUCAGUUAUUCGACUACCUUUUCAACCUUAAUUAUAUGCGACUCGUAUACCCGAAAUUGUGAUUGUGAAACCAUGUAUGAAUUCUAAUAUGAACUUCAGGACGGAGAACUGCUUAAGCCGAUGAGUAAUCACAUCGUGAUGUGAACAAACAUAGAACACAGUACGACUCUUGUAAACAGAUCACCCUAUAGUCUAAACACCUACGGAGAUACCAGAACAGUGCAAACAACUUAGCGAGCUACACAUAAAUAGAAUUAGAAGACUAGGUUUCUCACCCUAGAGAAACCUUAGGCUUAUUCUCCCAGAGGUCGAUGGAUCGCAUCGUAUGUGCCUCGGAGUUCGAGGACUCCGUCAAGAUUUUUCAUUAGAAAUCGUUAUCUCUGCCGCACAUAGAUGAAAUGGUUGAGCAAAUGCAAGGAAAGAAUUACUUUCAGGAAUGGACCUGAGAUCCGAAUAUCACCAGUCCGAGUGUUAUGGAAAGAUGUCCGGAAGACUAUCUCCUGAACUCGAUGCGGACACUUCGAGUCGGUAGUGAUACCCUUCGGAUAGGACCAGUACGCCCAUAGUUUUCAUGAGCUAAAUGAAUAGGGUGCACUUUUCUUACAUGGAUCAAUUCGUCAUUUCUCCAUGUAAUGACUUACUUAUCUACCCUCGUAGUAAGAAGAAAACCCAGGGAAACAUUUCCUACAGAGGAACUUUAGCGAAGUUCUCUAGAAACGAGUUUUGAAAUUGAAGAGUCAAAAUUCUAUGACACACUGUUAGUAAUGUGAGAAAUUAUGAGCACUCUUUCAAUUUGUCAAAACUGCUGAGCGUUUAUCGACACCAGAGACGCCGACAGUCUUUCGCCAAAUUCUAGGUCUUACCGACCUACCGCCUUAGUUCAUUCAGAACUCCUCGCAAGCUACAGAAACUCGUACGACUUUGAGCCAACAAAGGGUGGCCUUUGACUGGGAAGUUACGCAAGAAAAGGAACCUUUGAAAUUCCAAGUGAGUGAUUAGGAUAACUCACUUUGGGAAUGGCUUAAUACGCUUCGUAAAGCGUGGAAAGCUAAAUCCAAGAUAGACAGGACCUCCGAGAUUCUUAUCAAAAUCGGUCCUACGCCUCGCACAAACUAGACCUACUCCGCGAACUCAGUAACACACAUACUACUCUUCGCGUCUCGAUCGUGGAACCAUACCUUUCCGUUAGGACUCUUGUAAGUCCACUAGUCGAGAUCCUCGCCUUCGUAUUAGAACCAUAGUGACCCUCGACUGAGAGGUCAAGCGGACGAAGAAACGCCAUCGCCAGUUAGUGAAGGUUCGUUGGAAUGCCAACUGAGAACCCGAUUUCACUUAAGUGCGCAAGAACCAAUCGAUUAGGAAGUUUCCUCCUCACGAAUCGAUCAUUCGUACAUACUUCCUUGCUUAAACUCUAAUUUCGGGAUGAAAUUCCCUUCAACAGGGGGAUGAUGUGACAACCCGAAAUUUCCAUUCUGAACAAACCAUUUCAAUCCAAUAGAAGUUAGAACGGUUAUAGUGAAAACUCGGAUUUCGAGUAUAAGUUUGGCAGUUUUCAGGAUUUUACACUUAAGGAGAUAUUAGGAGAGUGGAUGCAAUAGGAUUUUGUGCUACACUAUUAUUCCAAGACUCUAGGACAUUAGAGUUCAUUCUAGGAAUAAAAAUAUUUUCUGCCAAAAGUAUUUCAGGACUAUAAAUAGAUUUCUGAACUAAAUUCAUUCAUUAUUCACAAUUCCAACUAGAGAAAAGCCGUUUUCGUCUCUCACGGAUCUUCGGGUUUUCAUCCCAAAUCGUGAGUACACUUCUCUAGUUGUGUUAUAAUGCUUGUUUUAUGCUUAUUAACGUAGAUUAUAUGUCAAAUAUAUGAGAUCCGGGAGUUUACCGCCCAAGAACGUUCUUGGGAAGUAAACUCCAAAAUGAAGCUUAAUGGUCAUCUAGUCCCAUUUCCUUGUUAGGUAUCUAGCUUAGGAUAAUAUGUAUGAACAUUUGAGACUAGAAAUCAAUCAAGAACACCUAGCUUUAGGAGUUUACGGCCCAAGAGUUUCUUGGACCGUAAACACCAAUUUCAAGGGCUUAAAUGUGCCCUAAUCACCCCCAAAGGCUUAGGUUUUAUUAUAGACAUGUACCCUAAAGUGAUUAGAACCUAGAAAACACAUGGAAACACAAGUGUUGAAGAGUUUACGGCCAAGAGUAGUUCUUGGGCCGUAAACUCCUAUAAAGGGGUCAAAGGACACCCUAACUCCUUCCUUAAGCCAAGAGACCAAUUUGGGCAUGUACCUAAAUGAGUUUUGGACUAGUUAACACACUUAGAACACCAAAAGUAAGGGAGUUUACGGCCCAAAAGGUUCUAAGGCCGUAAACUCCAUAAAAUGGUGCCAUAAACUCUUCUAAAGCGAAGUACCAAAGCCUAGAUUUGUUCCUAGUUAAUUUAGAGGAUAGAAAACACCAUAAUCACCCUCCGAAGGGAGUUUACGGCCAGAAACUCCAAGGGAAUAUGGUCUAUGGGCCGUAAACUCCCCAAAGGAGUUCAUAUGGUACCCAAACACUUGUUAUAGCCUCGAAACAAUUCACCACUAGAGUUGUAAUAAUUCUAAGCACCAUUUAGAGCCUUGGUUGAGAGUUUACGGCCAGGAGUUUACUCCCCUGGGCCGUAAACUCCAAAGAACAUGGUCAUUAGACCAUAAACUUCCAUUAGGGGCAUUGCACUCCUUUGUUGCAACCCAUUAGCCUCCUAGCACUUGACCAAAAGUGUUUUCCUUGCGUUUAAAUGAUUAUACUUGUAUAAUUAGUGAUUUAAUCUCUAAUUAUUUAUAUACAUAUGUCUUCAUAUGUAAUUAGGAUCAUU